rnacentral:rRNA from 1 species
AGGACGAACGCUGGCGGCGUGCUUAACACAUGCAAGUCGAACGAUGAACCACUUCGGUGGGGUUAGUGGCGAACGGGUGAGUAACACGUGGGCAAUCUGCCCUGCACUCUGGGACAAGCCCUGGAAACGGGGUCUAAUACCGGAUACUGAUCCUCGCAGGCAUCUGCGAGGUUCGAAAGCUCCGGCGGUGCAGGAUGAGCCCGCGGCCUAUCAGCUAGUUGGUGAGGUAACGGCUCACCAAGGCGACGACGGGUAGCCGGCCUGAGAGGGCGACCGGCCACACUGGGACUGAGACACGGCCCAGACUCCUACGGGAGGCAGCAGUGGGGAAUAUUGCACAAUGGGCGAAAGCCUGAUGCAGCGACGCCGCGUGAGGGAUGACGGCCUUCGGGUUGUAAACCUCUUUCAGCAGGGAAGAAGCGAAAGUGACGGUACCUGCAGAAGAAGCGCCGGCUAACUACGUGCCAGCAGCCGCG